CCUGGUUGAUCCUGCCAGUAGUCAUAUGCUUGUCUCAAAGAUUAAGCCAUGCAUGUGUAAGCACACACUGUUUUAAAAGUGAAGCCGCGAAUGGCUCAUUACAACAGCCACAGUUUAUUAGAACUUACAAUCAUGGAUAACUGUGGUAAUUCUAGAGCUAAUACACGCACAAAAACUUCAACUGAAUUGGUUGAAGUGCUUUUAUUAGAACAAAAACCGAACGGCGUUUGACGAAUGUUGAACGUCGAAACUGUUUGGUGAAUCUGAAUAACUAUUUCUGAUCGCAUGGUCUAGCACCGGCGACAUCACUUUCAAGUGUCUGCCUUAUCAACCUUCGAUGGUAGUCUAUGCGACUACCAUGGUGAUAACGGGUAACGGAGAAUCAGGGUUCGACUCCGGAGAGGGAGCCUGAGAAACGGCUACCACAUCCAAGGAAGGCAGCAGGCGCGCAAAUUACCCACUCCCAGCUUGGGGAGGUAGUGACGAAAAAUAACGAGACGAUUCUCGUUUGAGAAACGUUAUCGAAAUGAGUACGCUUUACACACGCUAACGAGUAGCAAUUGGAGGGCAAGUCUGGUGCCAGCAGCCGCGGUAAUUCCAGCUCCAAUAGCGUAUAUUAAAGUUGCUGCGGUUAAAACGCUCGUAGUUGAAUUGUGGUCUUAGACAACAGUCCCCCUACAUAGGUGUGGCACGGUUGCUCGAGAUCUUCAUUCGUGGUUGCUGUUGUUGCUCUUCAUUGAGUGUCAAUGGUGCCUCGAGAUUUUACUUUGAAAAAAUUAGAGUGCUCAAAGCAGGUUGUGAUGCCUGAAUAAUGGUGCAUGGAAUAAUAGAAUACGAUCUUGGUUCUAUUUUGUUGGUUUUCGAACCGGAGAUAAUGAUUGAAAGGAACAGACGGGGGCAUUCGUAUUGCUGCGUUAGAGGUGAAAUUCUUGGAUCGCAGCAAGAUGAACAAUUGCGAAAGCAUUUGCCAAGAAUGUUUUCAUUAAUCAAGAACGAAAGUUAGAGGUUCGAAGGCGAUCAGAUACCGCCCUAGUUCUAACGGUAAACUAUGCCAACCAGCGAUUCGCCGAAGUUCAUUUAAGACUCGGCGAGCAGCUUCCGGGAAACCAAAGUGUUUCGGUUCCGGGGGAAUUAUGGUUGCAAAGCUGAAACUUAAAGGAAUUGACGGAAGGGCACCACCAGGAGUGGAGCCUGCGGCUUAAUUUGACUCAACACGGGAAAACUCACCCGGCCCGGACACUGGAAGGAUUGACAGAUUGACAGCUCUUUCUUGAUUCAGUGGGUAGUGGUGCAUGGCCGUUCUUAGUUGGUGGAGCGAUUUGUCUGGUUAAUUCCGAUAACGAACGAGACUCUACCCUAUUAAAUAGUGACAGUAUUGUAUUUUUUGUGCUGAUCACUUCUUAGAGGGACUGGCAAAUUGAAAGCUGCACGAAAAAGAGCAAUAACAGGUCUGUGAUGCCCUUCGAUGUCCGGGGCUGCACGCGCGCUACAAUGAAAGCGUCAACGUGAGUUACGUCCUUACCUGAAAAGGUUUGGCAAUCGAAUGAAACGUUUUCUUGAAUGGAAUAGGGAAUUGCAAUUGUUUCCCUUGAACGAGGAAUUCCCAGUAAGCGUGAGUCAUUAGCUCGCGUUGAUUACGUCCCUGCCCUUUGUACACACCGCCCGUCGCUACUACCGAUUGGAUGAUUUAGUGAGGUGUUUUGACUGGCGCCAGUAGUCGGAUGUAUUCGGCUUCGCGCCGGGAAAUUUCCCAAACCAAAUCAUCUAGAGGAAGUAAAAGUCGUAACAAGGUUUCCGUAGGUGAACCUGCGGAAG
rnacentral:rRNA from 1 species